UACAGAGGGUGCUAGCGUUGUUCGGAAUCAUUGGGCGUAAAGGGCGUGUAGGCGGUUUGUUAAGUCAUGUGUGAAAUCCCUCGGCUCAACCGGGGAACGACGCAUGAAACUGGCAAGCUAGAGUACCAAAGAGGGGGGUGGAAUUCCCGGUGUAGCGGUGAAAUUCGUAGAUAUUCGGAAGAACACCAGUGGCGAAGGCGGCUCACUGGACCGUUGUUGACGCUGAGGUGCGAAAGCGUGGGGAGCAAACAGG
rnacentral:rRNA from 1 species